rnacentral:rRNA from 1 species
CGGUUGGGGAUGGGCUCGCGGCCUAUCAGCUUGUUGGUGAGGUAAUGGCUCAUCAAGGCGUCGACGGGUAGCCGGCCUGAGAGGGUGACCGACCACACUGGGACUGAGACACGGCCCAGACUCCUACGGGAGGCAGCAGUGGGGAAUAUUGCACAAUGGGCGCAAGCCUGAUGCAGCAACGCCGCGUGAGGGAUGACGGCCUUCGGGUUGUAAACCUCUUUUAGCAGGGAAGAAGCGAAAGUGACGGUACCUGCAGAAAAAGCGCCGGCUAACUACGUGCCAGCAGCCGCGGUAAUACGUAGGGAGCAAGCGUUAUCCGGAAUUAUUGGGCGUAAAGAGCUAGUAGGCGGUUUGUCGCGUCUGCUGUGAAAUCCGGAGGCUCAACCUCCGGCCUGCAGUGGGUACGGGCAGACUAGAGUGCGGUAGGGGAGAUUGGAAUUCCUGGUGUAGCGGUGGAAUGCGCAGAUAUCAGGAGGAACACCGAUGGCGAAGGCAGAUCUCUG